AGGUCAAGUUUUCUGAAUCUAAAAUCUAAUCCAUCCAAUACAGAACGAACUUGCGUGCGUGCCAUAACUAACCGUUCGCUGUUUGUUCUAUCGUAUCGACUUUAUUAUUAUCGUAUUAAUUCAACCAACUAACCACAAAAACCUAAACAAACCCUAACCCUAAUUUUCUAUCCAACCAACCAUGCCCACCGAUUCUCGACGCAAGCAUCGCCGAUCACCUUCUCCCGAUGACCACGACAAAUCCUCCAAACGUCACAAACACCGCCACCGUCACCGCCACCACAUCAGCAAAAAACGCGGCGAAGAAGAGAUUCAAUUCGAUGCUGAAACCGUUGAUUCGGUGAAGAUCAAUCAUCUUCCUGUUGAUGACGUAGAGGAGGGAGAGAUUCUUGAUGACCUGCCUUUCGAGGUCAAAGAUGAUCCAGAUCUUCGAUCUAAUGACAAAAAUCCGGGACUUCCCGCUAAAAAUUCAGAAACUGAACAUGAGGACAUCAGCAAUGACAGAUUUAUUAAUCAUACUUCUGAUGAAGAAGAUGGGAAACUGCGUCAGAGCUGCCACAUUGAUACUCGAAUUAAUGACGAUGAUGAUUCUCCAUACAACUCAAGAGCUGAAACUCAAACUAGGAGGGAUGUUCGAGCUGGUACUGAUGCUCUGGGCAAUGGGCAUCUGGGUGUUAAGUCUUCCAAAGGGGAUAAGUGGAAGAAUUGGGAGUUUGGUCAUUUUAGAGGAAAUGAGAAACUUAAAGGUGACAAUGAUGACGACACACUGGAGGCUAAUAGAAGGGAAGUAAAUCCCCACAGGAAUUCCUCUGAAAGUGGAGAAGAAAAACACAGAAUGUCAGCGAAUUCUCCUUUGCAUGAUGGACACAGAAGUCGAUCAAGAUCAAUUGGUCAUACAAGGGAUAGGUCUCGUUCUCGUAGUGUAGUAGAAGAGCAUGCUCGUCCCAAGAACAGGCACUCUGUGGAACAAGGAUCCCUUUAUUAUACCAGUAGACACAAGACUGACUAUGACCUUGAUGAGGAAACAGUGAGAGCAGGAAGAAGGGAGCAUCGUCACGGCAGUAAGGAUCUGAUGGAAGAUGAUAGACGAGAACACAGUUCUAGGUAUCAUAGUCGGGAGGCCCGGGAUAAGAACAGGAACAAGGAUAUGGAUAAGGAUAGGGGUCGGGACAGAGAUGUGGAUAGAGACUUGCAUAGGGAAAAGAAGCGAGAGGAAACAAGCAGGAAUAAGGAGGUUGAUUGGGUGCAUAGAAGGGAAAAAGAACGUGGAAGGAGUCAUGACAGGCAUAGAAGGGACAUGGUAAAAGAUAGGAGCAGGGAAAGGGAUGAGGGUAGGGAUAGGAGAAGAGAAAUGGAAAGAGAUAGGAGCAGGGACGCAGUUUAUGAGAGGGAUAGUAGAAGGGAAACUGAAAGAGAUAUGAGCAGGGACAGAACAAGGGGUGGUGAGAGAGAUAGAGACUGGAAGAGUGAAUGGGAUUAUAGGAACCGGGAAAGGGAUAUCAAUAAGGAGAGACGAGAUGACAGAUAUCGGCACAACGAUGAAGACACUCCUAAUGGUAAGGAUAAGCAUAUGCAUCGCGAGGAUGAUAAUGACAUCGGAGAUAGAUAUAAAAAACAUUCAAGACAUGAAGAAAAUGGAUACCAUGCAGAUAGAAAGAGAAACUAUACCAUGGAAGAGGAUGGAAGGAAACUUAAAGGCAGCGAGGUUGAACAAGAUGAUGUAGAUGAGGAUACAUUGGAAUUACCUGAUCAGGAAGAGGAAGAUCUGAUCAGAAUCAAAGAGGAGAGUAGAAGAAGAAGAGAAGCAAUAAUGGAGAAAUACAAGAAGCAGAGUCAGCAAAUACAGCAAGCAGCUGAAAAUGAAGGAAAAGACAAGGACAUGGAGAUUCACACUGACAUUUCUAAAGCAAUUGAUGGCAAGAGUGAUGAUGUGGAACCAUCAUUUUCUGUUGGGAAAUCUCCACCUGAAAAUGUGGAUGUUGGCUCAGAGAAGGUACCUGGUGCUGGUGGCCUAGGGGAGGGUACUCCAAAGAGUGAGAGGUCAGCUGACAAGUAUUGUGAUGAUAUAUUUGGUGAGACACCAACUGGAGUUCGGAAAUCGGGAAAGGAAGAUGGGCUACUGAUUGAGAGGGCCGGCCUGCAUGACAAUUGGGAUGAUGCAGAGGGCUAUUACAGCUAUCGUUUUGGUGAAAUACUUGAUGGCCGAUAUGAAGUUACUGCUGCACAUGGGAAGGGUGUCUUUUCAACAGUUGUACGAGCUAGGAAUCUAAAAGCUGGUAAUGGUGAGCCAGAUGAAGUAGCAAUAAAAAUUAUCCGCAAUAACGACACUAUGUACAAGGCUGGUUUGGAUGAAUUGGUCAUUUUGAAGAAAUUAGUAGGUGCAGAUCCGGAUGAUAAACGUCAUUGUGUUCGUUUCCUUUCAAGCUUUAAGUACAGAAAUCAUCUAUGUUUAGUUUUUGAAUCUCUAAAUAUGAAUCUGCGUGAGGUUUUAAAGAAGUUCGGUCGCAAUAUUGGCCUUAGGCUAACUGCUGUGAGGACAUAUGCAAAACAGCUUUUUAUUGCACUGAAGCAUCUCCGUAACUGUGGUGUUCUGCACUGUGAUAUAAAGCCUGAUAAUAUGUUGGUGAACGAGGCUAAAAAUGUUUUGAAGCUUUGUGACUUUGGUAAUGCCAUGUUUGCUGGUAAAAAUGAAGUGACACCAUAUCUUGUGAGUCGCUUUUAUCGUGCUCCUGAAAUAAUUCUUGGCUUGCAGUAUGAUCAUCCAUUGGAUAUUUGGUCUGUAGGCUGUUGUUUGUAUGAACUGUACACAGGGAAGGUUCUAUUUCCAGGGCUCACAAACAAUGACAUGCUGCGGCUUCACAUGGAAUUGAAGGGCCCUUUUCCAAAAAAGAUGCUCCGUAAGGGAGCGUUUACUGGACAGCAUUAUGACCAAGACUUAAGUUUUCAUGCCACUGACGAGGAUCCUGUAACAAAAAAGACCAUAAAGCGGAUGAUUCUUAACAUAAAGCCGAAAGAUAUUGGAACAAUCGUUGCUGGCUCUUCUGGGGAAGACCCAAAAAUGUUGGCCAAUUUUAAAGAUAUUCUAGAUAAAAUUUUCGUCUUGGAUCCGGACAAGCGGUUGACAGUCUCACAAGCAUUGAACCACCCAUUCAUCACUGGCAAGUGACCAAUGUUGCAAAACUUGACUCCUGAAAUGAUAUUCACUGAUAUUUGUACAUAUUUAUCCAAUUGGUAUUAAGGUUCUAAUGAUAUGGUACUAUUUAUCUUCUCUGUACGGCCCAAGGAGUGUCAUCGCAGUUGUCGGCCUGUUGAAGUUAAAAAGUGUGAUGUCCCUAAAGGCGGACACUUAACUGGCGGUUCUCAGUGGAAUGUACUGUUUCUAUUGAGACAUCACGGGUUUCAGGCUUCCCUCCCAUGCUUAGAUGCAUAAAAGGAACCCAGGAGAAGGUAUCUUGGUUUGUUUAUUAGGAGAUUAAAUUCGCUGUUUUAGAAUGAAUUAUAAUUUCCAUUAAAAUUUGUUAUCAAUGCCUAUACAAUAGCUACUUGUGUGAUGGAAAUAUAUUAUGAUGAGCUUGAAUGUGCUCUCCUUUGAGCUUGUUGGUGCUAUCUGAGAACAUGCGAGCUCAUCAAUUCUGUGUGUUUUAACUAGGUUCAUAAGAUAGGAGUAGUGGUUAGUGUUGAACCUGCAUUUUCAUCCAGGUGCAGGUUCCAGUACUACGCAAAUGCCUAAUGGCCACUGUUUUGAUGAAAAGUCAGUAUUAGUGAAAGAAUUAACAAGACCUGUGUUUUCUACACUUCUUUCUUUUGCCUUGGUCACUUAUUGAGUUGGACAUAUAGAUCAAUUUAUUUAGUUGUACUUAGCAUCUCUUUCCUUUUGAUGUCUUGUUAUUAUUUUCUAAAGUUUGCCUUUACGUAUCCUAAUGGAUUAAUGUUGCAUUUUAUCCAUGGCGGGUCAUUCUGGAGGCAUUUCUACGGGAUGUUUGGCCGUGUUCUUGAAGCAUAUUCAUAUCUCGGUAAUGUAUCAUACUCCUGCAGUUUCUGUAAGUAUAUUGAAAUCCAUUUCCUUUCUCAUUUUUGUCAGUAUUAAUGCCUUUGAUGGUCCACGGCAUCCAGUUUCCUACGAUGAUAUCGUAAUACAGAGUUAUCAUUUCUGUUUGUGGAUGGAUGUUUUGCGAAUUUGCAACUACAUCCAUAGUUUCUUACAGUGUUUUCAAUGAUCGAUCUGACCCUUCUUCCUACUAUAGUAUAUGAUCUAGAAAUUUAGAAAUAUACGAGUUAAAGUCAUGUGUUUGUGCGCGUAGGCAUUUAGAAAUUUACGAGGUGUUGGUUGCCCUAGUCCAGAAAAACUUUUGGAUUUAAUCACAAGUCCAUUGUUCAUCGGCGGAGGGUGACUAAGUGAGCCAACUCCUUCGGUACCUUUUAUGGCCUUGCCAUCAUGAUUGAAUAGUGCAUGUCAAUGAAUACCUAUUUUUUUAUUUUACCUUCAAGGAUGAAAAAAAAAAACAGCUUUAAUUUUUUAUAGUGUUGCAUAUGCCUUGGUUGUAUAUCUUGAUAUGCAGUCUUGGGUGUGGAUGCGUUACACAACUCAAAUUUUAUAUAGUCUAGAAGUAGUGAGGAUGGAGGAAAGAACAUGGUUAUUUGAUGAUGGGCCGUUAGACGUAGAUACAACAACCUUGUAACCACUUGGUUAUUUGUAGCAAAUGAAUUUCUUCCCUAAAUGUCGAUAUACAAUUAACCUUCUAUCAACUUCUAUUUCGUUUCCCCUCUUCUCUCUAGGUUACGAUACACAUUCUUUCACCGUUGAUUCCACCUUGGUCCUAACAUUAUCACCUGCUGGAGCUGCAACCUUGUCCCCAAGGUUGAAUUUUAGCAACUGGUUUUUAAUAGUGGUGGCAUCCUCCUAAGUAGCAAUAGGAAACAACUAAAAGAGAGAAUUGUUGGACAUACUUAAUGCAAGAAUCUCAACAUAUAUUCCCGACAUGAUGCCGGAAAACAGUUACAAGAAAAUGCUAAGAACCAAUUCUACUAAUCCCCUAAUCAGUGUGCAGAACUAGAUUAGUAGAGUGGUUGCUGUUGGCUUGUUUAGAAACGUCAAAGCCUGUCCUUCCAAGUCACGUCAAGAAGAAAGAGAUCUUUUAUGCUGUUUUUCUUCCUGAUUUGAGUUUAUUGUUGUAGGUAAUUAAUGUGGAUCCCCAGGGUUCCAAUUUCAGUAGGUAACAAAUGAUGCAAGACUAAUAUUUAAAGGUGAGCGUUUUCCGUAGAUAAUGAAAUUUGAAGGAAGUAAUGGUGAAAUGACUCAAAGUGCCGUAAUGGAUGUGGCCCCCUUGAGUUUCCUCUUAGAAUUGUCUGACCUUUUCCAUUCACCUACUCCGUCUAUCUCCGAGUCCCGGCAUAAUUCACUACGUACGGUGCUGUAAGUGCUAUUUUUGGAAACGUUAUAAUUUUGAUAUUCCCUUGGGUCAUAUUAUGGGGGUGUUUAGACUAAAUGAGGUGUAGCCGUCAUGUAAGCUUUCUAAAUUUUGAUCUUACAACACCGUACGUAGUGAUUGGAUUAUAGAAUCAAUCAGAUUGAGUGAAAGACAAUGUUUAAAUUUUCUUCAUGCUAUAGGUUAGUUUUAGAAAAUCUACAUCUCGACUUUGUUAAAUUGUGUGAUGUGGUUCUGUCCGGUGCAUGUUCUGGAAAUUCACUCGAGUUAACCUAGUGAAAUAGUCAGGUUGUUUAGUUUUAAACCUCAAGAUAUUUCUGAACACACCCAAUGGUUUUAGCAAGAGCUUUCUAGCUUUUUAGCAUGAAUUGUUCAAUGCAUGCAGAACAUUCCAAUUUAUAGAAGAAUUGAUUGAUGCAUUUUUCUGAGGUUUGAAUAAAAGAAUAUUCGUUAUCUCUGUAAUAAAUGUUAAAAUAAUUUCUAAUGCUAACAAACCAUCAGAAUGAUUUCAAAUCAUACCAAUGUCUAACAUCUAUUUAUGAAACAAGAAGGUAUGUUUUUAAAACAAUAUUUAUUAGACUGGGGCCUUUGGAUUUCAUGGUAUAGUAUGAAGUUUUACUUUACUAAAUAAAAAAAUUACCAUGCAUUAUUCUGCAUUCUUUAUGGUUUUUAUCGAAUAAAAUGCUGCUAAAAAAUCUCCCAUAUAUUCAAAUUUUUUAAAAAACUUAUUUUCAGGGGUAUCCUAAAGUGACCAGAUUUAUAAAGUAAAACCACUUCUAUGAUAUUUAUAUUUACUUUUUUUUUUUUCCAUGUUAGAACAUAAUCUUGUCAUCCUGAUUAAUAUUUUACAGAUUCUUGUUUUUCUCCUAAACCAUAUUUCCUUUAAAUAGUAAUUUUUUAUGAAAAUAAGUGUAAUCAAUGCAUUGAAAAUUAAAAUAUUUGAUUUUUUUAUAAAAUUUCUUUUAGAAUACUUAAAUAGAGGGCUUGGAGGUGUACUUGUGAAUAAGACCCUUUAAUUAUAUUUCAUUUAUUUAUUGGUUCUUUUGUGGAUGCUUAUUAUAGAAAGACAGUCGUACAAAUGUAUUUGAUGUCAAGUUCACGCAUCUUUGUCAUACAACAAGCCAUGAUGUUGUUACUCGCUUCUGUACACUGGCAAAGAUGAACAAGAACACCACGAAAGUACCCCAAUCUUUCUUGGAUCCUUAAAACCAAUUUACAGCACGCCACAACACAACAAUUGAAAUGUUUUUUUACCAACACUUGACUACUAUUUUGUUGGAUUUUAAUGAAGGGGCACCAAGAACAUUGAGAUUACUAACCUGGACUAAAUUCAUUUCAGCUUCAUUCACUUGCUUUCUACGAUGUAAAUAUUGUCACUUUACCUUCAAUUAUAUGCAUUUGGACACCACUAAUAAACAAUAAUCCGACUGAUAAUAAUUUUGCAAGUGUUUUAGAAAAGUCUAGACAUUGUAAUCUUUACCAACCUUUGCUGGGCGGUUAACUACUUAACGGCAUUGAACUUCAUGAUAAGAAAGUCUAGACAUGAUGUCCUCAUUUUCAAUGAAACUAUUUUUGUUCCCCAUAGAUGAAGACCGUUGUACAAUUAACAAAGGUUGUGUCUUGCCACUUGGACUAAAAUUGUCUGUUGAUUUGAUUUUACUCUUCCCUUUGUACUUAUUGUAAUGUAAUGGAAAGACAUCAAUAGUACAGUCGUCACUCUUUUCAUUUUCUUUUCCUUUUCCUUUAGUUGAGAAAUCAUGAAAUGUGACAAAUGGUAUAGUAUAAAUUCCUUUAGUUGAGAAAUCUUUGACGGAAAAGAAAUAUUGUAUGAUACUUAUAUGGAUUAUUGGUGAAAAAAACUGUAUCCACUGGCACUUGUUUGGAA